UUCCGGUUGAUCCUGCCGGAGGGACUGGGGGUCGGAUUGAUACUAAGCCAUGCGAGUCAUUGAAGCAAUACAAGGCAUACGGCUCAGUAACGCGUAGUCAACCUACCCUAUGGACGGGAAUAACCUCGGGAAACUGAGUAUAAUGCCCGAUAGAACAUUAUGCCUGGAAUGGUUUAUGUUCCAAAUGAUUUAUCGCCGUAGGAUGGGACUGCGGCCUAUCAGUUUGUUGGUGAGGUAAUGGCCCACCAAGACUAUUACAGGUACGGGCUCUGAGAGGAGUAGCCCGGAGAUGGGUACUGAGACACGGACCCAGGCCCUAUGGGGCGCAGCAGGCGAGAAAACUUUGCAAUGUGCGAAAGCACGACAAGGUUAAUCCGAGUGGUUUCUGCUAAAGGAACCUUUUGUUAGUCCUAAAAACACUAACGAAUAAGGGGUGGGCAAGUUCUGGUGUCAGCCGCCGCGGUAAAACCAGCACCUCAAGUGGUCAGGAUGAUUAUUGGGCCUAAAGCAUCCGUAGCCGGCCCUGUAAGUUUUCGGUUAAAUCUGUAUGCUCAACAUACAGGCCGCCGGGAAUACUGCAGGGCUAGGGAGUGGGAGAGGUAGACGGUACUCGGGAGGAAGUGGUAAAAUGCUUUGAUCUCUCGAUGACCACCUGUGGCGAAGGCGGUCUACCAGAACACGUCCGACGGUGAGGGAUGAAAGCUGGGGGAGCAAACCGGAUUAGAUACCCGGGUAGUCCCAGCCGUAAACUAUGCAAACUCAGUGAUGCAUUGGCUUGUGGCCAAUGCAGUGUUGCAGGGAAGCCGUUAAGUUUGCCGCCUGGGAAGUACGUACGCAAGUAUGAAACUUAAAGGAAUUGGCGGGGGAGCACCACAAGGGGUGAAGCCUGCGGUUCAAUUGGAGUCAACGCCGG
rnacentral:rRNA from 1 species